rnacentral:rRNA from 1 species
AUUGAACGCUGGCGGCAUGCCUUACACAUGCAAGUCGAACGGUAACAGGUCUUCGGGUGCUGACGAGUGGCGAACGGGUGAGUAAUACAUCGGAACGUGCCUAGUAGUGGGGGAUAACUACUCGAAAGAGUGGCUAAUACCGCAUGAGAUCUACGGAUGAAAGCAGGGGAUCGCAAGACCUUGUGCUACUAGAGCGGCCGAUGGCAGAUUAGGUAGUUGGUGGGAUAAAAGCUUACCAAGCCGACGAUCUGUAGCUGGUCUGGGAGGACGAUCAGCCAAACUGGGACUGAGACACGGCCCAGACUCCUACGGGAGGCAGCAGUGGGGAAUUUUGGACAAUGGGCGAAAGCCUGAUCCAGCAAUGCCGCGUGCAGGAUGAAGGCCUUCGGGUUGUAAACUGCUUUUGUACGGAACGAAAAGCCCCGGGUUAAUACCCUGGGGUCAUGACGGUACCGUAAGAAUAAGCACCGGCUAACUACGUGCCAGCCGCCGCAGUAA